rnacentral:rRNA from 1 species
GAUGAACGCUAGCGGCAGGCCUAACACAUGCAAGUCGAGGGGUAGAAGGAGCUUGCUCCUUUGAGACCGGCGCACGGGUGCGUAACGCGUAUGCAAUCUACCUUGUACAGGGGAAUAGCCCAGAGAAAUUUGGAUUAAUGCCCCAUAGUAUAUAACCUUCGCAUGUUGGUUAUAUUAAAGUUCCAACGGUACAAGAUGAGCAUGCGUCCCAUUAGUUAGUUGGUAAGGUAACGGCUUACCAAGACGAUGAUGGGUAGGGGUCCUGAGAGGGAGAUCCCCCACACUGGUACUGAGACACGACCAGACUCCUACGGGAGGCAGCAGUGAGGAAUAUUGGUCAAUGGUCGCAAGACUGAACCAGCCAUGCCGCGUGCAGGAAGACGGUCCUAUGGAUUGUAAACUGCUUUUAUACAGGAAGAAACCCUCCCACGUGUGGGAGCUUGACGGUACUGUAGGAAUAAGGAUCGGCUAACUCCGUG